rnacentral:rRNA from 1 species
GGGGGGGCAAGCGUUGUUCGGAUUUACUGGGCGUAAAGGGCUCGUAGGCGGCCACCUAAGUCGGUUGUGAAAUCCCUCGGCUCAACCGGGGAACUGCGACCGAUACUGGGAGGCUUGAAGCCGGGAGAGGGAUGCGGAAUUCCAGGUGUAGCGGUGAAAUGCGUAGAUAUCUGGAGGAACACCCGUGGCGAAGGCGGCAUCCUGGACCGGUCUUGACGCUGAGGAGCGAAAGCUAGGGUAGCAAACGGGAUUAGAUACCCCGGUAGUCCUAGCCCUAAACGAUGAAUGCUUGGUGUGGCGGGUAUCGAUCCCCUGCCCGUGCCGUAGCUAACGCGUUAAGCAUUCCGCCUGGGGAGUACGGUCGCAAGGCUG